AUUGAUGUAGCUCAGUGGUAGAGUGCAUGUAUGUUGUAUGUAUGAUGUCCUGGGUUCAAUCCCCAGCUUCUCUC